GAAGUGGGCCAGAUGAUCGCGGGGUUAUUCCCUGAGGAAAGUCCGGGCUCCCUAGGGCAGGAUGCCGGCUAACGGCCGGGCGGAGCAAUCCGACGGAAAGUGCCGCAGAAAAGAAGACUCCCGCUGCCUCUUUUGAGGUGAGAGAAAAGCUGAAACGGUGGUGUAAGAGACCACCAGCAUCCCGGCAACGGGGUGGCUGGGUAAACCCCAUCUGGAGCAAGAGCAAAUAGGUGCGCUAUGGGCUGGCCCGGCUCGCGCACGGGUUGCUCGCGAGAGAAGGAUCGUGGCAACACGGCCUCGAGAUAAAUGAUCAUCCUCGACAGAACCCGGCUUAUAGGCCCGCUUCGCAU
rnacentral:RNase_P_RNA from 1 species